AGUGAACGCUGGCGGCAGGCCUAACACAUGCAAGUCGAGCGGCAGCGCGGGGGCAACCCUGGCGGCGAGCGGCGGACGGGUGAGGAAUUCGUCGGAAUCUGCCUUUUUGUGGGGGAUAACGUAGGGAAACUUACGCUAAUACCGCAUACGUCCUACGGGAGAAAGUGGGGGACCGCAAGGCCUCACGCAGAAAGAUGAGCCGACGACCGAUUAGCUAGUUGGUGGGGUAAAGGCCCACCAAGGCGACGAUCGGUAGCUGGUCUGAGAGGAUGAUCAGCCACACUGGGACUGAGACACGGCCCAGACUCCUAGGGGAGGCAGCAGUGGGGAAUAUUGGACGAUGGGCGCAAGCCUGAUCCAGCCAUGCCGCGUGUGUGAAGAAGGCCUUCGGGUUGUAAAGCACUUUUGUCCGGAAAGAAAUCCCUGGAGCUAAUACCUUCGGGGGAUGACGGUACCGGAAGAAUAAGCACCGGCUAACUUCGUG
rnacentral:rRNA from 1 species